AGUUAACGCUGGCAUCGUGCAUAACACAUGCAAGUCGAAGGGAGUGGCAGACGGGUGAGUAAUGUAUAAGAACCAACCUUUAAGUGGGGAAUAACAAUCCGAAAGGGUUGCUAAUACCCCAUACUUGAAGACGGACUUAUAUUCUAUCAGCUAGUUGGCAGUGUAACGGACUACCAAGGCGACGACGGAUAGCCGGCCUGAAAGGGCGACCGGCCACAAGGGCACUGAGACACGGGCCCUACUCCUACGGGAGGCAGCAGUGGGGAAUUUUGGACAAUGGGCGAAAGCCUGAUCCAGCAACGAUGCGUGGAGGAUGAAGGUUCUCGGAUUGUAAACUCCUUUUGAGAGGCGGUACCUCUCGAAUAAGCCACGGCUAACUACGUGCCAGCAGCCGCGGUAAGACGUAGGUGGCAAGCGUUACUCGGAAUUACUAGGCGUAAAGCGCGCGUAGGCGGAAUGUUAAGUCUGUUGUGUAAUCUCUGGGCUCAACCCAGAAACUGCAACAGAAACUGGCGUUCUUGAGUGAGGCAGAGGAAAUCGGAAUUCCUAGUGUAGCAGUGAAAUGCGUAGAUAUUAGGAGGAACACCGGUGGCGAAGGCGGAUUUCUGGGCCUUUACUGACGCUAAAGUGCGAAAGCUGGGGAGCAAACGGGAUUAGAUACCCCGGUAGUCCUAGCCGUAAACGAUGAUAACUAGGUGUGGGACCGUGCCGCCGCUAACGCAUUAAGUUAUCCGCCUGGGGAGUACGGCCGCAAGGUUACAACUCAAAUGAAU
rnacentral:rRNA from 1 species